rnacentral:rRNA from 1 species
UACAGAGGUCCCAAGCGUUGUUCGGAUUCACUGGGCGUAAAGGGUGCGUAGGUGGCAGACUAAGUCGGGUGUGAAAUCUCCGGGCUUAACCCGGAGGGUGCGCUCGAAACUGGUUUGCUAGAGGGUGGGAGGGGAGACUGGAAUUCUCGGUGUAGCAGUGAAAUGCGUAGAUAUCGAGAGGAACACCGGUGGCGAAGGCGAGUCUCUGGACCACUCCUGACACUGAGGCACGAAAGCCGGGGGAGCAAACAGG